rnacentral:misc_RNA from 1 species
AUGGCGUCAGCGGAGAUUAAUAUGGCGUCCUCAGACAUAAUAACCGAAGUGGAGAUUCAACCAGAUAUCCAGGAAGUCGAAAUCGAGACUAUACCAGUGGAAAUACCCUGUGAAACUGUAGAAACGACGAUCGAAGGGGAGGAUGGGCAGCCCAUGAUCGCAUUGCAGUCUCUGCCUGAGCCAGGGCGUGAAGAAAUCAUAUUGCAAACGCAAGAAGAAAUAGUUGGUGGAGACCCACUGAGCGUUUACGAUCAAAUACCAGUGCCAGACAACGAUAUUUAUGUUGAAUCAAGCCCGGGACCUUCCAGGAAAGGUCCCAAAAAAGCGCGUAAGGGCGGUAAUUCCAGAUUUAGAGCCCCGGAUCACACAAUAUUUGGAGACAUGGGGACGGAGACGAAGGCUAGGAAGUGGGAGCAGAAACAGGUGCAGAUUAAAACACUGGAAGGCGAGUUCUCCGUUACGAUGUGGGCAUCGGGAACCGAUGACGGGAGUGUCCUAUUAGCGUCUCACCUGGUGGAUGUUCCAGAUGAGGGUUCCAACCCAGAGCCCGAUCCAGACUACACAGAAUACAUGACUGGCAAGUCUGUGGCAAAAUUCAACCACUCUGGUAGUUCGGUUUCUGACGGUAUGCCAGGUCUUGAUCUUUCUGAUCCGAAACAAUUGGCAGAAUUCGCACGCCCAGGCCACAAAUUAAAAGUACGCAAGCCGCCCAGCAUAGAUGGAGUCGAACGUACUAUCGCCUGCCCACACAAAGGAUGUACGAAGAUGUUUCGUGACAAUAGCGCGAUGCGCAAACACCUUCACACCCAUGGCCCCAGGGUACAUGUAUGCGCUGAGUGCGGGAAGGCCUUUGUUGAGAGCUCCAAGUUGAAGAGACACCAACUUGUCCACACUGGGGAAAAGCCUUUUCAAUGUACCUUCGAAGGAUGUGGAAAACGCUUCAGUUUGGACUUUAACCUACGAACUCAUGUUAGAAUUCACACAGGAGAUCGACCUUACGUUUGCCCUUUCGAUGGAUGUAGCAAAAAAUUUGCUCAAUCUACGAACUUAAAAUCUCACAUACUGACUCAUGCAAAGGCUAAAUCUCGCAAUGCUAUCGGUAGACAGGUAUCACAGAUUCAAUUACAGCAACCACAAUUUGUUCAGGUGGAAGUCGCUGAUGUAGAUAACCAACAGUUCAUCGUGUAUGCUGAUUAGCCCCUCCAAAUUCCCUAUUCCCUAAUGACCCCAUUAUAAUUAUCAUAGCCUUUAAUUAUUAACCCAAACAGUGUACAUAUUUACAAGAUGCAGCGAGUGAUGAGGACAGGAGGGUACUAAAGCUAUUAGCUAUCUUAAAAGUUUGAAUCAAUUGAUCAAUAAAUACAUCUGUGCUACGAUUGAUUAUUAAAAUGAAGAAAAUAAAGAAUAAUCACAGUAAAGGAAGCACCAUAAACACAAAAAAUCAAUUAAAUUAUACUGCUGAACCAGAGUACCUAUCAAAGACAUACAAGAUAGUUUGCAUGGUAAAAUAUGUUUGUUUACAUUUUUAUUCAGAAUUAGGUUUUCAGAUUCAAUGUCAGUCUUUAUAGAAAAAUUGGUAAACUGUGAGAAUUUCACGAAAGUUGAAACGUAAAAUAUUUUCUAUUUUCAGAAAGACUGCUUAGUUUAAAUUUGUUCAAUUAAAUCAUAUCUAUAUUUAUACGAAUAAUGUAAUGAAUAAAUAUUUUCACAUAUUUGACUAUACAAGCCAGAAUAGCUGGAUUGCUUACAUCUAUCUCGUAUGUCCCAUGGUGCCAUUGAUCUGGGAAUAAAUGUUCAAAAGCUUGAAUUAAAGAAAUACAUCAUUAGUUCAUUAUAAUUAAAACAUGUGUAAUGGAAAAGAGUACGUUGAGAUGAUGUAAUUUUACACGUAGUAUAAGUAGAUACGAACGUCGUCUUGGUCUGAACAAUUACACAUGCUAAUUUUUAUAUAAAAUAUCUCUAUUGAAAAUCUUUUCACGUUCGAUGAAAUGGGGUAUUCAAUAUGAAUAAGAACAGUGAGUUUUAGGUACAUGAUCAGGCUUGCUGAAAAGUUGAAAAUAGAAAAAUCAAGUUAAUAUUUUGUGGAUUCCAGUAUGAAAUAUUUUUAAAUGCUAAGUCUACUACAAUGUGAAAGUUUUUCCUGAUUUGUAUAAUAUACUCAAGUUUUUUCAUAUUACGUUUUGGCAAUGGAUUGAUAAUUAUGUGGAUUGUGCAUACUUAUAUAAUCAUAUCGUCUAGUUUUAUGUGAUUUUGUACACACACCCAGUUUUUAUUACUGCCAGUUGUAAGAAUAGGAUGAAACACUGUGUCAAUCAUGUACUAGCAUGCUGAUGCAAAUUUGAUUGUUUUGUUCCUUAGUAUGCACGAUCCCUAUAGUCGUUUAUUCCGAGCUAUUUGAGUAAAAUAUAUUUGUCAGUUGAGAAUAACUAAUGUGAUUCUUGAGGUAAAACAAAAUAUAAUUGAUUAAUUAUCAAUAAUAGAAAACAAAUGCUCAGUGUUGCAUUUUUGAUUCAUCACGAUAUCAAAUAUGCAAAAGCAGCUGGUAUGUUUUACUUAUUUUUGGGGAUUGGUUGCUAACUAUAAUUCGUUUAGCAAUAAAUAGAAACGAAAUACCAAUAUUAGCCUACUGAUCAGAUACCAGUACAAAUGAAAAAUAAGGUCUAAACUAAUAGCAGUACUAAUUGAAAAUAUUCUUUUUGAGAUGAUAAAGCUAAAUCUUAAUUAUCGAAGUCAAGAGAUUUGUGCAUUUAUUCUCAGUGAUAAUGAUGCGAAACACUUUUAUCAUUAACAAUAAAUAAUUAAAACCUAAAAAAGAACACAUGUUAAAAAGAUGGAAAGGAUAAAUUUUAUUCUAUGUAAUAAUAUUAUUACUAUUAAACUUAAUGAUAUAUUUAAGUUUGUCAAUUUAUAUGAAAUGAGAUGAGAAAAAGUAAAUACAAAAUAAUGUCCGUGUUUAGUUAUUAUUCGUAUUACAUGUGUUGUAUCAUUUUUUGGGCAUUGAUUCAAAUGUUAUUGUUCAUAGAAAUUGUUGAGCAGUACCUUAUUGAAUAACUAAUCAAACAGGUAAGAGUGUUUUAAUGAUGCAUGUUCAAUUUUAUGCACGUACAUGAUCAUAUGCCCCAUUACUUCUCGAAUAUGAGAUUGAAACAUUGGCCGUUGAAUAUCAGUAUUAAUUGUCUUUCAAUCUCAGCCUUAGAAGAGGUAUCAAAAAGCUAAAAAAUACUGUACCAAUUUAGAUCUUAUUUUACAUACAUAAUUGAUUUAAAUCAUAUCCUUGUAGUUAUUUCUACGUGCCAGUGGGAGUUAAAAAUUUAAUAUUCACUGUCAAUCAGUCGUUAAUAAAUGAGGGCUAGUUUUGAUAGUACGAAAUGAGGUAAAGGCUAAAAUGGCAGAUGCUUUUCAAUCCAAUUUUAUUAAAACGAGAGUGAGCACUCGAAACAACUUUAUUUCUAUUAUGAAUACUAUAUAUAGGUAUGAACGCGUUUGCGGUAGUCAGUCAGUACUGAACUCACGUAUAUACGUCCCUUGGAUUGUGUUUCCGAUACAUUGAAAGUUACCGGGUAGUCUGCUACCGCUUGUUUGACAUGAACCGAGCUAAGGCAUGCAAUCAUACGGCGGGUCCACAGAAGUGUUACGAUAAUUGUGCGUGUGUGUAGGCUGUCUACCAGAUGUUAAACUAUAUGAAAAUGAUUGGUUUUCAUCAGUUCAAUGAAUUGACACUAGGCAACCAGGCACGAAUAUCUUCAGGGAUAUAUAGUCGGUGCUUUGACGUAUUUUUGUGUAUACGGCGAACGGCGAUUGAACAAGUUGAGAGAGCGGUAAAGUUUUGCAGUGGCGUGUCACACUCUGUGCUACAUUUAGUACAAAUAUG